GACGAACGCUGGCGGCGUGCUUAACACAUGCAAGUCGAACGGAAAGGCCCUGCUUUUGUGGUGUUCUCGAGUGGCGAACGGGUGCGUAACACGUGAGUAUCCUGCCCUUGACUUUGGUAUAACUUCAGGAAACUGGGGCUACUACCGUAUCGGAGCUCCUGCUGCAUGGUGGGGGUUGGAUCUUUUCGGCUGUUGGGGAUGGACUCGCGGCUUAUCAGCUUGUUGGUGGGGUAGUGGCUUACCCAGGCUUUGACGGGUAGCCGGCAUGGGAGGGUGACCGGCGACAUUGGGACUGAGAGACGGCCCAGACUGCUACGGGAGGCAGCAGUGGGGAAUAUUGCACAAUGGGAGGAAGCGUGAUGAAGAGACGCCGCGUGCGGGAUGACGGCCUGCGGGUUGUAAAACGCUUUAGCCUGUGACGAAGCGUGAGUGACGGUAAUGGGUAAAGAAGCACCGGCUAACUACGUG
rnacentral:rRNA from 1 species